AGUGGCGGACGGGUGAGUAACGCGUGGGUAACCUGCCUCAUACAGGGGGAUAACAGUUAGAAAUGACUGCUAAUACCGCAUAAGACCACGGAGCCGCAUGGCUCAGUGGGAAAAACUCCGGUGGUAUGAGAUGGACCCGCGUCUGAUUAGGUAGUUGGUGGGGUAACGGCCUACCAAGCCACGAUCAGUAGCCGACCUGAGAGGGUGACCGGCCACAUUGGGACUGAGACACGGCCCAA
rnacentral:rRNA from 1 species